CCUACGGGAGGCAGCAGUGAGGAAUAUUGGUCAAUGGGCGCGAGCCUGAUCCAGCCACGUAGCGUGAAGGAUGACUGCCCUCGGGGUUUUAAACUUCUUUUAUAAAGGAAUAGAGUGAGGCACGUGUGCCUUUUUGUAUGUACUUUAUGAAUACGGAUCGGCUAACUCCGUGCCAGCAGCCGCGGUAAUACGGAGGAUCCGAGCGUUAUCCGGAUUUAUUGGGUUUAAAGGGAGCGUAGAUGGGUUGUUAAGUCAGUUGUGAAAGUUUGCGGCUCAACCGUAAAAUUGCAAUUGAAACUGGCAGCCUUGAGUACAGUAGAGGUAGGCGGAAUUCGUGGUGUAGCGGUGAAAUGCGUAGAUAUCACGAAGAACUCCGAUGGCGAAGGCAGCCUACUAAACUGCCACUGACAUUGAGGCUCGAAAGUGUGGGGAGCAAACAGGAUUAGAUACCCGUGUAGUC
rnacentral:rRNA from 1 species